rnacentral:rRNA from 1 species
AACGAACGCUGGCGGCGCGUCUUAAGCAUGCAAGUCGAACGGCAAGAGAGGAGCUUGCUUCUCUCCUAGAGUGGCGGACUGGUGAGGAACACGUGUGUAAUCUACCCUUAAGAUGGGGAUAGCUGCUAGAAAUAGCAGUUAAUACCGUAUACACUCGGCAUAUCACAAGAGGUGUUGAGGAAAGGAAGCUACGGCUUCGCUUGAGUAUGAGCUUGCGUCCCAUUAGCUAGUUGGUGAGGUAAAGGCCCACCAAGGCGACGAUGGGUAUCCGGCCUGAGAGGGUGAACGGACACAUUGGGACUGAGAUACGGCCCAAACUCCUACGGGAGGCAGCAGCUAAGAAUAUUCCGCAAUGGACGGAAGUCUGACGGAGCGACGCCGCGUGGAUGAAGAAGGCUGAAAAGUUGUAAAAUCCUUUUGUUGAUGAAGAAUAAGGGUGAGAGGGAAUGCUCAUCUGAUGACGGUAAUCGACGAAUAAGCCCCGGCUAAUUACGUG